GGGCCCGCACAAGCAGCGGAGCGUGUGGUUUAAUUCGAUGCUACACGAAGAACCUUACCAGGGUUUGACAUACAAGUAGUAGGGAAAGGAAACUGGACCGACCCUUCGGGGAGCUUGUACAGGUGCUGCAUGGCUGUCGUCAGCUCGUGUCGUGAGAUGUUCGGUUAAGUCCGCUAACGAGCGCAACCCUCGCUGUGUGUUACAAGUGUCACACGAUACUGCCGGUAUCAAGCCGGAGGAAGGUGGGGAUGAUGUCAAGUCAGCAUGGCCUUUAUAUCCUGGGCUACACACACGCUACAAUGGCAGAUACAAUAGGUUGCGAAACCGCGAGGUGGAGCCAAUCCUCAAAGUCUGUCUCAGUUCAGAUUGUAGGCUGCAACUCGCCUGCAUGAAGUUGGAGUUGCUAGUAAACGCAGGUCAGCUAUACUGCGUUGAAUACGUUCCCGGGGUUU
rnacentral:rRNA from 1 species